GACGAACGCUGGCGGCGUGCUUAACACAUGCAAGUCGAACGGAAAGGCCCUGCUUUUGUGGGGUGCUCGAGUGGCGAACGGGUGAGUAACACGUGAGUAACCUGCCCUUGACUUUGGGAUAACUUCAGGAAACUGGGGCUAAUACCGGAUAGGAGCUCCUGCUGCAUGGUGGGGGUUGGAAAGUUUCGGCGGGUGGGGAUGGACUCGCGGCUUAUCAGCUUGUUGGUGGGGUAGUGGCUUACCAAGGCUUUGACGGGUAGCCGUCCUGAGAGGGUGACCGGCCACAUUGGGACUGAGAUACGGCCCAGACUCCUACGGGAGGCAGCAGUGGGGAAUAUUGCACAAUGGGCGGAAGCCUGAUGCAGCAACGCCGCGUGCGGGAUGACGGCCUUCGGGUUGUAAACCGCUUUCGCCUGUGACGAAGCGUGAGUGACGGUAAUGGGUAAAGAAGCACCGGCUAACUACGUG
rnacentral:rRNA from 1 species